CUCCAAACCACGUUGUUUGGGGAGUGAAAAAGUGAAAGCACACAUCGUGUCAUUAGAGCAGCAGGGCCCAGCUGCUGGGUCAACACUUCCGAAAACAGCGCUUCCUGGGGAGCCGCCGGAGCAUCUCAGAAUCUACGGCUUGACCUCCUGCCAAUUCUCAUGAACGUGCUUCAGAGUUGCACUUAGCCUGGAACAUGGCCUGACCUCUAUGGUAUGAAUAAGUGAGCUCCAUGAAGACAAUAAGAUCUCCUGAAAUUAUACAGUGAUGACCCAUGUGACAUCUUACACAAAUGGACAAUCAAUGGAGGGAAGUGGCAGCAAAAAUGAAAGUGAAGCAAAGAAAUGAAAAAUGAGAACGCAGGGAGUGAGAUUCAAAUCCAACAUAAAUGGAGGACCUGUGAGUAUUGUUUUCCUGAGCUUCUCCUCUGUCUCCUCUUGUGGCUGCACUUGACUGAGCAUUUCAGGAAAGAAUACAGAAUGCACUGC